UGUUGUUCUUACUUUUCUUCAGUAAAGGUAAUCGCUUCAGUAAACUCACGCUUCAGCUUCAGUUUUCUCUCAAACUCUUGCUUCCAGAAAUCCCUAAGGUAAUCGCUUCCAGAAAUCAAUUCGUUUCCAGAAAUCGCUAGGGUAAUGUUCUUGAUUUUGAGUUUUGUUCCCACCCUUUCCAGAAAUCACUCGUACUCACCGUUUCUCAUUGUUUCCCACAAUCACUUCCAGAAAUCACUCCCCAAAAUCGCUUCUAGAAAUUGCUUUUCAUCGUUUCUCAUUAAAGAGUUUAAGAAAUGCUUCUUCUUCUCAUCGCUUCAAGGGUUCGAUUGACAUUCUCUUCAUCAAAGAAAUCUAUUUUUAGUUCACAAUUUUCUCUUCUCUCGUAUUUGUACCUUUUAUUUCAUGAAAUAGUGGCUCGACCAACUUUGUGGUUGUUUGGUGAUCAAAAAGUUAGAGUGUUCUAUGCUGUGAGAUUUUUUGUUGGUUUUCUCUCGCUUUCCACGUAGACUGUUCUUGUGGUAGCUCUUUCGAGAAAGUAUGGAAAACGACUUGCUUCUUAUACACUUGCUAUGCCGUGCUUAACCAACGACUAUUUCUUUGCUAGCACAAGUUUCUUGUCAAGUUCGUUUCCCAUGUAUGCAAUCUCUCUUGCUUCGGGUUUAUUUCUUCUUGAUAAACAUGCUGCAGCAGUUGUUGUCUCUGCUAUUGGUGUGAUACAUGGCUGGCCAUUCUCAAUCUUGGCUUUCCUUCCGGUGACACUUCAUUCUUUAUAUAUA